UACAGAGGGGGCGAGCGUUGUUCGGAAUUACUGGGCGUAAAGCGCGUGUAGGCGGUUGCCAAAGUCGGGUGUGAAAGCCUUGAGCUCAACUCAAGAAUUGCACUCGAUACUUGGUGACUAGAGGACCGGAGAGGAUAGUGGAAUUCCCAGUGUAGUGGUGAAAUACGUAGAGAUUGGGAAGAACACCAGUGGCGAAGGCGGCUAUCUGGACGGUUUCUGACGCUAAGACGCGAAAGCGUGGGGAGCAAACAGG
rnacentral:rRNA from 1 species